CUAAACGCUUAUCAGUUAGUCUUGCAGUGGGCGGUACAUGAGGAAACUUGUGUGCGAUUACCUGUCAAACUCGGGGAAGCCAUUAGCGCGGUAAUCCCGAACCAAGCCUCAGAAAUGGGGAAGGUGUAGAGACUGGGAGGCAGGCACCCUAACGUGAAAGACGAGGGUGAAGGGACAGUCCAGACCACAAACUGG
rnacentral:ncRNA from 1 species